CCUACGGGGGGCUGCAGUGGGGAAUUUUGGACAAUGGGGGCAACCCUGAUCCAGCCAUGCCGCGUGAGUGAAGAAGGCCUUCGGGUUGUAAAGCUCUUUCAGCCGGGAAGAAAUCGCAUAGGCUAAUACCCUGUGUGGAUGACGGUACCGGAAUAAGAAGCACCGGCUAACUACGUGCCAGCAGCCGCGGUAAUACGUAGGGUGCGACCGGGAAUCGGAAUUACUGGGCGUAAAUAGUACGCAAGCGGUGAAAUCCCCGGGCUCAACCUGGGAACUGCGCUUGUGACUGCUAAGCUAGAGUACGGCAGAGGGGGGUGGAAUUCCACGUGUAGCAGUGAAAUGCGUAGAGAUGUGGAGGAACACCGAUGGCGAAGGCAGCCCCCUGGGCCGAUACUGACGCUCAUGCACGAAAGCGUGGGUAGCAAACAGGAUUAGAUACCCGAGUAGUC
rnacentral:rRNA from 1 species